UGGGGAAUUUUGCACAAUGGGGGAAACCCUGAUGCAGCGACGCCGCGUGAUUUAGAAGGCCUUCGGGUUGUAAAAAUCUUUUCUAUGGGAAGAAAAUGACAGUACCAUAGGAAUAAGGACCGACUAAUUACGUGCCAGCAGCCGCGGUAAUACGUAAGGUCCGAGCGUUGUCCGGAAUCAUUGGGCGUAAAGGGUACGUAGGCGGGUAAGCAAGUUAGAAGUGAAAUCCUGUAGCUCAACUACAGUAAGCUUUUAAAACUGCUCAUCUUGAGAUAUGGAAGGGAAAGUGGAAUUCCUAGUGUAGCGGUGAAAUGCGCAGAUAUUAGGAGGAAUACCGGUGGCGAAGGCGACUUUCUGGCCAUAAUCUGACGCUGAGGUACGAAAGCGUGGGUAGCAAACAGG
rnacentral:rRNA from 2 species